rnacentral:lncRNA from 1 species
AGAAGUUGUUUCUAGAUAUAUCAAUGGAUACCAGAGAAGAACACGACUGGAAGUUGCUCGGGACCGUACCGGAGAGGUUGUUGGAGGAGAGGUUGAGCUCGAGGAGAGUGGGACAGGCGUCGGCAAGAAGCAGAGGUAUGCCACCCUGGAAAUCGUUGCCGGAGAGAUAAACGUACUCCAAAUUAGCAGUGGGCAGCGCCGGAAUCGCGCCGGUGAAGUGGUUGCUGGAGAGAUUGAGGUGGUUGAGCUGCUGACAGUACGCGAGCUGGUUCUUAAUCUCGCCGGAAAAUUUAUUGGCGGAGAGAUCCAGAUAGUUGAGAGCGGAGCAACGACCCAGCGAUGGAAACGCAGAGAAAUUAUUGAAAGAAACGUCCAAAUACUCCAAAUUUCCACACCCAGAGAGUGGUAUACUUCCAUUGGCGUUGUUCCCCUUCAAGGCCAAGCUUUUCAGCUGACGAC